rnacentral:lncRNA from 1 species
AUGCUUUCACCUUGGGGUUAUUUUUGUAGGGUUUUUCUAAGUUUCCCUUGUUUUAUUAAAAUAACAGGGAUCCUACUUAUUUUAUACUAAAACAGGGCAUGAUAUAUUUUUCCAGUGAACUAUAUUGAAUAAAUAACCUAACAAAAAUAGAGGUACUCUCUGGUCCAUUAAUUAAAUUACAUUUUCUAUUUUUUCCUAUCCUUAAGCAUAUUAUAGAGUAAGGGGUAAAACUAACUUAAAUGGAGUAGACAGAGGGGUUUAGCAUUUUUAUUUGGUUUAGUAGGUAUAUAUAAACUCCUCAGAAUUUUUCUAACCCCAGUCAAAUAGUGCAACUAAUUUUGGCCUUAUUAUUAAGCUUUUGGUCAAAACUAUAAUUAAAUCAGAGCUUUAAAGUUUUCUAUAGUACAUAGGGGUUUUAUAUUUUUCCUAAAUAGGUUUCAUUAUUUGAAGUCUGACAAAAUUGGUUUGACCAAAUUUGGAUGAUUUAAACAAAAGUUAUGCAUUUUCAAAGUUUUCUGCCCAAUUUAAAAACAGAUUUAAUAAAGGUUUUCUGGAAAAACCGUUUACACCGAGGUCCUUGGGUUUAAACUAAAUCCACCCUCACAAAUCUACCCCUACGCCACUAUUCCCCUGUGUCGCUGACAUUACACAAAACCCCCUGAACUUUCUUCCCUCUCACCCGCAGUCCUUCCCCUCACUGAAACAGUAACCGCGGGAAAGAAAAGGACGGCGCGGCUUACCGGCGGCGAGGGAGGUCCGGCGAAGGGUGGGGUCGGCUCGGGGAGACUCUGGCGGUCACGUCGAGGUACGGCUCGGCGUCGGAGGUGGCCGGAAUCGCCCGGUCCACGCGUGCAGGCGGGUGUCCUCGUCGGCGGCGAGUAUACCGGCCAAACCACGGCGAACUGGUUCAAUCCGAGGGUACGGUGAGCUUCACGGGGUCACGUAACGACUGUGUGCACAAGGAAUCGAAGGAUGGUGGAUUGGUUUACCCGGUCCACGUACUCCGGCGGGGGUGAGAGCUCCGGCGAGCGUGGACUGGCUUCUCCGGCGAAGGGAACUCCGAUUCCUUGCUCGGGGAGCCUCACGGAGGUGUGCACAAGCUUCUCCGAGGGCAGGACGGGGUUGGGGAUGGCUCUGCUAGCCGGUCUAUGGUGGCAGAGGGGUUGGGCGGCCGCGGACUCGCUGCGCACGGGCAAACGGCGACGAGCUAACUCCGGCGAGGUGUGGAGGGUGUGCGGAAGGGUGUAGCCGAAGCCUGGGAGGGCUUUAUAAGCUCGGGCGCGGGCCACGACGCGGGUUUGGCUCGGGCGCGGCGCGGGGCAUGCGAGGGCGCGCGCGAGCGUGCUCUGGCGCGGGCAGAAGGCGUCGAACACGUGGCAGUGAGUUUCUUCCAAUGUUCAAACGCUUCCAGAGAUCGCAAACGUGCGAAUCUCGCCAUGAAUCCGGCGCAGACCUCCUCCUGGCACCUAGGGCUAUCUCACAUGUGUGAGUUCCAAGGGAUGAUACGCCCUAGAGAGGGAGAUAGACGGGCGCCAAAUCUGGCUUGUCUCCCUGCCCGCUCAGCGACAAAACUGAUGUCAAGUGCUGUCAAACGUCUGAGUCUCGGUCUCAAAUUUUUCCAGGGGGUGCCUUAAGUGGUAUAGCACAUUUUUGGUAUAGAACCCAAGUGGUUUUGGCGCCAUCUUCAAAGUGAACACGGCUGGUCUUUGAAUUAGGGCAAAAAUGUGACUUAGAGGGAAAAUAGAGAGCUCUAGCUCUCUCUCCACUUGGAGAUUUGAAUUGGGGUUUCUCCAGGGGCCUUUUUGCAAUAUUUCCCUCCCUUAAUUGAUGGUUACAAUGUUGCUUAGGGUUUGGGCAAAAGUUACACACACUUGCACCCUUGUUCACUCCCUUUCCCCCCUUUUACUUAGGGUUUUGGAAGGUAGGGCUUUUGAGAGGUCUAGGGUUCUUCUCCCCCUAAUAUCCAAGGUAGUAAGUGUGCAAGGAUUAGAGUAAUGCUUCCUAUGUCAUUGGCCACUUGAUUAGCACAUGAGCUCCAAAGUUCCUAUGUGGUGCCCUAAGUCUUCACCAUUGUGGACACAGCUUCUAGUGCCAAAGUGGCUCUAGCCAGGGUAACACCUGGGGUGUUACACGCCGCGGAUCACGGAGGGCCACCAUGGCCGCGCCAUGGCCGGGACGGGGCCGAGGCCGGGCGGGGAAGCGCGCGCGGGCGGGACAGGGGCGAGCGCGCGAGCGGGGCGGGGUCGGUGACGCCGCGCGGGCGCCAAGGGCAAGGCCAGGCGGGGACGAGGCCGGGCCGCGCCGGGGAGAGGGAGGGAGGGGGAGAGGAGAGGGAGGAGGGGGAGGGGCUUACCGCGCGGGGGAGGGAGGCCGGCGGCGAGCGGCGCGGCGGCGAGCCGAGCGAGGGCGCGGGCGGAUCGGGCAGGGGAGCGAGGGCGAGCAGGGGAGGAGAGAGGGAGGGGGAGCUAACGGGUGGGGCCCACGCGGGGGAGGCGGCGGCGGUUUUUCCAACCACGCGCGCGGUGGGCGCGCCGUGGGGAGCGGGGGGAGCUGGCGGGGGCGGUUGGGCCGCGGCUGGGCCACAAGCCGACUGGGCCGGCUGGCCAGCGCGGGGCCCACGGCGGGAAGGGAGAGAGGGGGGGGGGGGGGGGGGCUGGGCCGAAAUGGGAGGAGAGGGGGAAAGAGAGAAGAAAAGAUUUUCCUUUUUUUAUAUCUAUUUUCUAUAUGAAUGCUUUCACACGUUCAAACAAUCAAAGAAAUGCAUGGUUCGGCAUGGUGCAGCAGACCAAAGAAAAUAACCCUAGUGUUUACUAUUAUCACAUAACCUAAAGUUUUGAAGUCGGGUGAGGUUUUAGCGAAAAGAAAUGGAAAGAGGGGUAACGCCCGAAUUUAGCGAGCGAUAGAGAAAAGAAAAAAAAUCAACUCAAAAUUCGGGGCGUUACAAACCUAUCCCCCUUAAAAGAAUCUCACCCUCGAGAUUCAGGGUUGGCUAGCAAAGAGCUCAGGGUAUUUGGCCAUUAGAUCAUCUUCACGCUCCCAGGUUGCCUCCUCCUCAGAGUGAUGAUUCCAUCUGACCUUGCACAUUCUGAUGGUCUUCCUUCGGGUGACUCUGUCUGUGGUCUCAAGGAUCUGCGUUGGCUUCUCUGUGUAGGUCAAGUCCUCCUGGACCUCCAGACCUUCCACUGGCAACUGCUCUUCUGGCACACGCAAACACCUCUUCAACUGAGACACAUGAAAUACAUCAUGCACUGCUGAUAAGCCUUCUGGCAAACUGAGCUGAUAGGCCACUUCUCCACGCUUUGCGAGAAUCUGAUACAGACCGAUGUAGCGGGGUGCUAGCUUGCCUUUGACUCCGAAUCUUCUGACUCCCCUGAUCGGUGACACUUUCAGAUAGACAAAGUCUCCAACUUCGAAACUCAGCUCUCUUCUUCUUGUGUUUGCAUAGCUUCGCUAUCUUGAUUGCGCUAUCUUCAGAUUCUCUCGGACCAUCUUGAUGUUCUCUUUGGCUUCAAGCAGAAUGUCUGGCCCAAACACCUGCUUUUCUCCAGGCUGAUCCCAUUGCAACGGAGUUCUACAACUCCUUCCAUAGAGCGCUUGAAAUGGUGACAUCUUCAAGCUGGCCUGGUAACUAUUGUUAUAGGAGAACUCUGCAUAAGGCAACUUCUUGUCCCAUCCGGACUGGUCUUGCAACGCACAGGCUCUCAACAUGUCUUCAAGAAUUUGAUUGGUUCUUUCAGUCUGACCAUCUAUCUGCAGAUGAUAAGCUGAACUGAAAUUCAAAUGUGUGCCCAAGGCUUCAUGCAACUGCUGCCAAAAAUGAGAGGUAAAUUGCGUCCCUCGGUCUGACACUAUCUUCUUUGGCACACCAUGAAGACAAACGAUUCGGGACAUGUACAAUCCUGCCAAUACUGCACUGUUGUAGUUGGUCUUGACUGGUAUGAAGUGGGCUGACUUGGUCAAGCGGUCCACCACUACCCAAAUGGAAUCGUAGCCGGCUCGAGUGCGAGGCAAUUCGACUAUAAAAUCCAUGCCGAUUUCAUCCCAUUUCCACUGGGGGAUUUGCAACGGUUGCAACAAUCCAGCUGGUCUCUGGUGCUCUGCCUUGAUCCGCCGACAACUAUCACACAUAUCCACAUGCUCUGCGAUCUCCCUCUUCAUUCCGUACCACCAGAAUUUCUUCUUCAGAUCUUGAUACAUCUUCUCACUGCCAGGGUGAAUUGAAUAGGCUGUCUCAUGAGCUUCCAUGAGGAUCAACUCCCGAAUAGACUGGACAUUGGGAACGCACAAGCGGUCUUUGAACCAUAUCACACCUUCUGCAUCUUCCUGAAAAUCUUUGCCUCUGCCAUCUAGAAUCAGUCACCGAAUUUCACUGACCUUCUCAUCAUUCUUCUGCGCUUCUUUGAUUUCUCGCUCUAGGGUAGGUUCCAACUCAACUGUGACUCCUCGCGUGUUGUUCAGAAAUCCAAGACUCAACCUGUCAAACUCUUUGGCCAACUCAUAAGGCAUCGGACGAGCGACCAUCAGAUUGACCUGACUCUUCCUGCUCAAAGCAUCUGCCACUACGUUCGCUUUGCCUGGAUGGUAAUGGAUCUCCAACUCAUAGUCUUUGUUCAACUCUAACCAUCUUCUGUGCCUCAUAUUCAGCUCUGACUGAGUGAAUAUGUACUUCAGACUCUUGUGGUCUGUGUAAACAUCACAUUUCUGUCCAUACAGAUAGUGCCUCCAUGUCUUCAGUGCGUGAACCACUGCUGCCAACUCUAGGUCAUGGAUUGGAUAAUUCUUCUCAUGAACCUUCAGCUGUCGGGAUGAGUAAGCCACAACUCUUCCCACUUGCAUCAACACACAUCCCAAACCAGUAUAACAAGCAUCGCAAUACACCGAGAAGGGCUUGUGCACAUCAGGCAAGACUAGGACAGGCGCUGUAGUCAACUUCUCUUUCAGCGCUUCGAAGGCCUCUUGACAUUUCUGGGUCCACUUGAACUUGACCUUGUUGCCUAGCAACGCUGUCAUUGGUUUUGCAAUCUUCGAAAACCCUUCAAUGAAUCAACGAUAAUAUCCGGCCAUUCCAAUGAAGCUCUUGAUUCCUCGAGCAUCGGUCGACGCUUUCCAGUUCAGAAUGUCUGCCACUUUCUUCGGAUCCACAGCCAAUCCUUCUUUGUUGAUUAUGUGACCCAAGAACAGGACUUCACUGAUCCAGAAUUCGCACUUGCUCAACUUUGCAUACAACUGGUGCUCUCGCAAUCUCUGCAAUACCAUCCUCAAAUGAUCCGCAUGCUCUUCUUCGCUUUGAGAAUAAAUCAGAAUGUCAUCAAUAAAUACCACCACAAACUUAUCAAGAUAGUCCAUAAAUACACUGUUCAUCAAGUUCAUAAAGAAGGCCGGUGCAUUUGUUAGACCGAAAGACAUCACUGUGAAUUCAUAUAACCCAUACUUGGUAAUGAAUGCCGUCUUCGGAAUGUCCGAAGGUCGAAUCCUGAGCUGAUGAUAACCUGACCUCAGAUCAAUCUUGGAGAACACGCUGGCUCCUCUCAACUGGUCGAACAGAUCUUCUAUUCUGGGCAAAGGGUACUUGUUCUUGAUCGUGACCUCAUUUAGAGCUCGAUAAUCGAUACACAUCCUUUUGGUGCCAUCUUUCUUUUCCACAAAUAGGACAGGGGCGGCCCAAGGCGAGGUGCUUGGCCAAAUGUAACCUUUCUCUGACAGCUCAUCAAUCUGCUUCUUAAGUUCAACCAACUCUGGUCCAGAUAUUCUGUAAGCUCUCUUAAAGAUGGGGGCGGUUCCAGGAAGAAGCUCUAUGGCAAAUUCAACUUUUCACUCUGGUGGCAUACCCGGUAAGUCCUUGGGAAACACAUCUGGAAACUCCGACACAAUCUUGAUACUCUCAAUUGGGUCUGCUUCACUGCUAUCGACAGCCAUCUGAUAACAACUUCCUUUCUUCGGCUCAGGCGGGACUAACUCGGUCACCACUUCCUCUCCUAGUGGGGACAUCAACUUGAUUGUCCUCUUAUCACAACUGAUAACUUCCUAGUACUUAUCUAGCCAAUUCAUCCCUAGGAUGACAUCUAUUCCCUGAGUACCCAUUACUAUGAGGUUAGCGGGAAACGCUAUCCCCCUUAUUUCCACACUUACAUUCAAACAAAUACUAUCGGCUCGAAUUCUACCACCAGCUGAGUCAAUUUGAACGGGGGUUGACAUGGUAGUAAUUGGAAGAUUAUGUGCUUCUACCCAUGAUGCAGUAAUGAAAGAAUGCGUUGCUCUAGUAUCAAAUAACACUCCUGCAAUAUGGGAAUCGACUGGAAACAUACAUACUAUCAUGUCGGGGGUCUCCUGAACUGCUUCAGCCUCCAAGUGAUUCAGUAUCACAUGAUUAUAGCGCGGCUGAGAGCGGUUGCCUGCUCCAGGCUGAGACACAUUCUGCUUUGCUGGGGCAUUGGGGCCUAACUGCUGCUAGGCUGCCUUCUUCGGACAUUGCAUCACCCAAUGGCCUUGCUCUCCACAGUGGAAACAUGCUCUAUUUCCAACCUGAGCUGUUGCUGCCUGACUGUUCUGCUGGUUUGCUGGGGCAGGAAGACGAGGUGCCUGCUGAUUCUGCCUCUGGAACAGACCUCCUCCCGACUGAUGGUUCUGACGAUUCUGAUACUGGUGUUGAGGAUACUGCCUUUGAAACUGCUGCUACUGAGGUGGACGCUGGUUCUGCCUGAACUGCUGAGGUUGAUUGCCUGAGAAACGAGGACGAUUGCUGCUUCCAGGCUGGGGUCCACUGAUCUUGCGCUUGCGAUCCUCCAUCUCCUUACGCUUCCUCUCUGUCAUGAUUGCCCUGUCAAUCAGGUGCUGGAAUGCCGGGAAGGUAUGAUUCAUCAGCUGGUACUACAGAGGGUCAACUAAGCCUCUUAAGAAGCGAUACUGUCUCUUGGCAUCUGUGUUGACAUCCUCAGGAGCAUAGCGAGACAACUGCAGAAACUUGUCCCGGUACUCACUGACAGACGAUGACCCUUGCUUAAGGGCCAGGAACUCCUCCUUCUUCACUGUCAUCAGACCUGCAGGAACAUGGUACUGACGAAAGCUACCUCUGAACUCUUCCCAGGUGAUGGUGUCGGGGUUGGCAUGGGUGGCGAGAUAAGACUCCCACCAUGACUGAGCUGCUCCUCUCAACAAACGAGGACCAUACAGGACUUUCUCCCUGUCAUCGCACUGAGCGAUAUGCAACUCUCGCUCCACAGUGUGCAGCCAAUCUUCAGCAUCCAUGGGGUCAGAAGAGUGAGCGAACGUUGGUGGAUGACCUCUCAUGAAUUCAGCACGCUUGUCCUUAGGCAUCUGAGGCAUCUGAGGCUGAGGUGGUACCUGCUGCUGCUGCUGAAUGGCGGCCAGAGUCUGACCGAUGGCUUGAACUGCCUGAGUCUGCAUCAGAAACAUCUGCUCGAUGGACAUCGGGGGCGGGGGCGGCAGCUGCUGUUGCUGGGGUGCCUCAUCCUGCUGAGCUGCCUGCUCCUGCUGAGCACGCCUUCCUCCUCUGCGCCUGUUUUCUGACAUCUGCAGAAUGCAAUCACACAUCAGAACUGAUCUUGCAAAUCUUGCAGCAUGAGAAAAGAGUAUAGAAUUCUCCACAACACUGAGCAGAUGAGCAUCUUCACUGAUCUCCAACACAGACCAACACAUCUUCUCAGAUAAAGAGGAAAGUGGAAUAAAAGGCUGCCCAACUAGAUAACUAACUCCAUUAACAUAACAGGUAAACCAAAAUGCAGGGGAUUCCCACACUCUGGUGACAGUCAUUACAAAGAUCCAAAUCGAGCAUAGUUCAUCAUGACAAACAUAAAUGCACAGGAUAUAGCAAACUACCCUGUCUAACUAAGACUAACUAAGAGCGAGACUAACACUAAGACUGAGACUAAGACUAAGACUAAAACUUCUAUAUUAAGCACUUAUUACAAGACUCCACACUGACGAUCUAUGGUUCCAAGUCUAUCUUGGUCUUGCAGUCGGGAUUGCCAUAAGGCUGGUGUCCAUGCCGAGGUGAGCGGUACGGGUGCUGAGUCCCGACGGGAGCGAGGGAACCAUCAUCCAGGUGACGACGUUCCGCUCGCUCAGCCCGCAGCAGGGCGAUCUCAGCACGAGCCCUACUCAGCUCGUCUAAUGCAUGGUCCAGCUCCGUGUUUAGCACGGCGACUAGGUUGACUGUGCUGCUCAACCUAGGAUUGUCCUCACCAACAGGUGAGACAAUCACGCCUCCUGUGCUGCCAGAUGGACGGCGGGGGUAAUACUUCAGGUUGAGGCCGUCAGCUACCCCACCGAGAACCGAGCAGUAGUGUGAAAGCGCACGCCGUGCAGCAUCUUGCAUGGCCGCCUCAGCUGAGUCCCGCUUAGAGAUGGAAUAGUGCUCUGAGCAGACCUCAGCACCCUGGAGACUGUUCUCCGGACGGCGCACCAAGCAGGUCGCCUCCCAGCGGUCCGGGUAGACCCCGCGACUGUGCUGGUAGACCACACAGCGAUACUCGAUGGACCAAGUACGCCGGUUAAGUGCUCGACGUAGCAGGGUGUCGAGCACACCAUGGAAGUGACACCCGCGAGCAGCGUCGCGAGUGAUGGGUCGAGCAACCCAUCCUUCCGGCUCCUGGUUAGCAGAGAAGUCGGUGUCGUGGCUCAGGCUGUCGUCGCCACCUCCGUCGUCCGGGUCUCCUCCAGCAGCUACUCCAGAGGCUGGGGCACUCAGUGGUGGUGCAGGGGGCGCCUCCAGGGGAAGCAUAGGGGAGCAGCUCCUCACAGACUCUAUCUCCUGCUGGGGCGAGAAAGAAGAGCCCUCCUGCUCCUGUCGUCGAAGCUCCUGCUCCUCAUGCAGGCGGUGAUGCAGCCUCUCCAAGUGACUGGACUGACCGGCCACGGGACGACGAAGCGGACGCUCAGCAAGGCGGGAGGGUAAGAAGGGGAUGACGGACUUUCGUGCAGUGUGUCUAAGACGAGCCAUCUACAAAAGACACCGCAAGCAAAAGAGUGAGAACAGAAUUAAUAUGACCAACAAGUAAUGAAUCAUAAAUAAAUGAAGGAUUAGAAUAAAACACAAUUUUCAGCAAGGUAUAAUAUAUAGUAGAACAUAGUUUUGUUCGAUAUGACAAACUUUUGAAGGGAUGCCAAAGUCAAGGCAGGGACAGAGGUCUAUAAUCCUUAGAACGACCAUUCUACUCUAGGGUAGCGGUCCUACAGUCAGCACGGCUUUGAUACCACCUAUGUCACACCCGGUUUUAGAAGGUAAACCGAAUGCGAACCAUGUACGUGCCAGGAUCAGCAAUUCACGUACACAGCAGUUACAUAACAUGGACAUCAUCACACAGUGCUCAAAUAGUAUUAAAAAGGGAAAUAAUAGUCGAUUACAUCAUAUGUCUGAGACAUUCACAUAGUCUUUACAAUAAAUCAAAGUGCGGAAAAGAAACAUAGAUAAACGCGGCCUUCACAGGCAGCCGUCUGGGGGUUGCCGCUAACUCACACCUAGAACUCGUCGUAGUCUUGGAACUCCUGGAAGUCUCCUUCCAUGGCUUCAUCUUCUCCUGAGCAGUGGUUGCAAUGCGAACAACCUGGGGAUGGGGGUUUUGGUGUGUAGAGCAAGGGUGAGUACACAUCAACAUACUCAGCAAGUAUCCUGUUUGGCUGUAGUGGACUAGCUUUAUGUGGGGGUAAGUCAAGCAGUUGCUUUUAGUUGGUCAGAUUAUUAUUACUAGUAGAAAAAGCCAAGUUUUAGAGUUAACCCACGUUAUUAACCCAAAUGUACUCCUUUCCAAACGGAAAGAGUACCACUUACCAUUACCAGAGUCAAAACCAAGAACCAUCAAUCUCAUUGCCACCUGCAAAUCCGAACAUCUCUAAUCAAGUAUCACUAAUCAUGGAGCUCCCUUGGCCGCUCAUAACCGUGAGCACGACUGAUAUAUCAGUUUUCAAACACUCUGUAGAGGUUGUGCACUUUACCCACAAGCUGUGAUUCCCUUUCUGCCCGGAGAGAGCUACUCCCCAUUGACCACUACCUAGGUGGUCCAGCAGUGUCGGGGACCAUAAUUAGGGGUACCCUCAAGACGCCUAAUUCUCAGCUGGUAACCCCCAUCAGCAUAAAGCUGCAAAGGCCUGAUGGGCAUGAUUAAGUCAGGGAUCAGUCCACACGAGUGACUCGAUCACGCUUCACCCGAGCCUAGCCUCGGCCGAAGGCAGCCGACCUCGAGAGACUUCUGUCUCGCCCGAGGCCCCCUUUUUAUGGCGGACACAUCACCGGCUCGCCCAAGGCCUUGGCUUCGCUCAGAAGCAACCUUGACUAAAUCACCACACCGACUGACCAAAUUGCAGGGGCAUUUAACGCACAGGAGGCCUGACACCUCUAUCCUGACACGCGCCUCCGGCAGAGCCGAGGUGACCGCCGUCACUCCACCGCUCCACUGGCCAGUCUGACAGAAGGACAGCGCCGCCUGCGCCACUCCGACUGCAGCGCCACUCGACAGAGUAAGUCUGACAGGCAGUCAGGCCUCGACAAAGGCGCCACGGCAAACUCCGCUCCGCCCGACCCCAGGGCUCGGACUCGGGCUAAGACCCGGAAGACGGCGAACUCCGCUCCGCCCGACCCCAGGGCUCGGACUCGGGCUAAGACCCGGAAGACGGCGAACUCCGCUCCGCCCGACCCCAGGGCUCGGACUCGGGCUAAGACCCGGAAGACGGCGAACUCCGCUCCGCCCGACCCCAGGGCUCGGACUCGGGCUAAGACCCGGAAGACGGCGAACUCCGCUCCGCCCGACCCCAGGGCUCGGACUCGGGCUAAGACCCGGAAAACGGCGAACUCCGCUCCGCCCGACCCCAGGGCUCGGACUCGGGCUAAGACCCGGAAGACGGCGAUCUCCGCUCCGCCCGACCCCAGGGCUCGGACUCGGGCUAAGACCCGGAAGACGGCGAACUCCGCUCCGCCUGACCCCAGGGCUCGGACUCGGGCUAAGACCCGGAAGACGACGAAAAUCCGCCUCGCCCGACCCCAGGGCUCGGACUCCGCCCUGGCCUCGGCCGAACGACUUCCGCCUCGACCGACCCCUUGGCUCGGGCUCGGCCACGGCAACAGAAGGCAGACUCAACCUCGGCUUCGGAGGAAACCCCACGUCGCCCUGCCUAGGGCACAGACCGCCACGUCAACAGGAGGCGCCAUCAUCAUCCCACCCCGAAUCGACUCGGGUCACGGAGAACGAGACCGGCGUCUCAUUCGGCCAGCUCCGCCAGAGGGGCAAUGAUGGCGCUCCACAAGCUCUAUGACGACGGCGGCCCCUAGCUCUCUUACGGAAGCAGGACAACGUCAGCAGGGACUCGACCGCUCCAACAGCUGUCCCUCCAUCAGGCUCCGCCGCACCUCCAACAGCCACGACAUCACGCCAGCAGGGUGCCCAGAUCUCUCCGGCUGCCACAUUGGCAUGUACCUAGGGCGCUAGCUCUCCCUCCGCUAGACACGUAGCACUCUGCUACAUCCCCAUUGUACACCUGGAUCCUCUCCUUACGACUAUAAAAGGAAGGACCAGGGCCUUCUCAGAGAAGGUUGGCCGCGCGGGACCGAGGACGGGACAGGCGCUCUCUUGGGGCCGCUCGCUUCCCUCACCCGCGUGGACGCUUGUAACCCCCCUACUGCAAGCGCACCUGACCUGGGCGCGGGACGAACACGAAGGCCGCGGGACUUCCACCUCUCUCACGCUCGGCUCCGGCCGCCUCGCCUCUCCCCCCUUCGCGCUCGCCCACGCGCUCGACCCAUCUGGGCUGGGGCACGCAGCACACUCACUCGUCGGCUUAGGGACCCCCCUGUCUCGAAACGCCGACAGUUGGCGCGCCAGGUAGGGGGCUGCUGCGUGCUGACGAACAGCUCCCCGUCAAGCUCCAGAUGGGCAGUCUCCAGCAACCUCUCCAGCCCGGGACGGUGCUUCGUUUCGGGACUCUUGAGUUCAUGUCCUUCGACGGCAGCUACGACAUGACACUUCUUCCACCGCCGCGCGACUACGACAAUGGCGGCCGACAACCCGCCCGCUGGCGGCGGAAUCGACGACGUCUACCCCGCGUGGUGGAAGAGCAACAUUCGGGCUCGCUCCGUUCUCUCCCCCGCCAACGGAGGAGGAGGCGGGGCCGUCAAGGCCAGACGGGAGGCCACGCUUCGCCGGCCGUCGAGCGAAUCGACGCCCCCGACGCCCCGACGGAAGGCACGCCGGACGUCGACCUCGCGUUCGAGACGGAGGCAAGCACCGUCCCCCCGCGGCACGCUGACCCCGAGCAAGAAGACGACGCCGGCGCGCUCGCGGAAAGCCUGCAGGACGUCGCCCUCGAACCAGAGACGACGGCGCAACCAGUCCCCGAUGUGACUACGUCGCUCCUCGUCGACCAAAAGGUAACGACUAACUCCCAUCUUGCGUCAUUUCGACUCGGCCUCAACCCGCCAAACGACCUCGUUUUGGCGGGCGCUCUCAUUGAGGCGAGUGCAACCCCACUGAGGUUCUGUAUGCGGUCGCCUUGGGACCGACUGACGGACGUCUCGACCUACGGGCCCUCCGGGUCCGAGGAAGAUGACGAUCCCAGCAUCGGUUGGGAUUUCUCCGGACAUGGCAACCCCAGUGCCAUGCGGGACUUCAUGACCGCAUGUGACUACUGUCUAUCCGACCGUUCCGACGGAAGCCGCAGCCUCGGUGACGAGAGCUGCGGCCCAAGCCGCGAAUGUUUCCACAUCGAGCUAGGGGAUCCCACCGAAGGCAACCAUCUUGGCAUGCCGGAGGAUGGUGAUCUCCCUAGGCCGGUGCCUCGCGCCGACAUCCCACGGGAGCUAGCUGUGGUCCCCGCUCCGGCGGGGGGUUACGACCCACAACUCGAGCAAGUCCGCGAGGCGCAGGCCAGGCUCAACGAGGGAACAGGGGCGCUUGAGCCGAUCCGUCGGGACGCCGGACAGGCAUGGGUGGGCCAACCCCUGGCCGGAGAAAUACGUCAUCUGCCCCAAGGUCUCCAGCACCGCGUCGCCAACGACGUCAGGAUCAGGCCGCCGCCCGCAUCCAGCGGGGUCGGUCAGAACCUGGCGACCGCAGCGAUGCUCAUCCGCGCGAUGCCGGAGCCGUCAACCACCGAGGGACGGCGAAUACAGGGAGAACUCAAGAAUCUCCUGGAAGGCGCUGCGGCCCGGCGGGCCGAGAGCACUGCAUCCCGGAGGCAAGGAUAUCCCUCGGAACCUCAUGCCGCGACUUCCCGAUUCAUGCGGGAGGCCUCGGUCUACACCGGGCGCACGCGCAACACCGCGCCUGCGGCCCCGGGCCACCUCGGCAACGAGCACCAUCGACGCGACCGUCGGGCUCACCUCGACGAAAGGGUGCGCCGAGGCUACCACCCCAGGCGUGGGGGGCGCUACGACAGCGGGGAGGAUCGGAGUCCUUCGCCCGAACCACCCGGUCCGCAGGCCUUCAGUCGGGCCAUCCGACGGGCGCCAUUCCCGACCCGGUUCCGACCCCCGACUACUAUCACAAAGUACUCGGGGGAAACGAGACCGGAACUGUGGCUCGCGGACUACCGCCUUGCCUGCCAACUGGGCGGAACGGACGACGACAACCUCGUCAUCCGCAACCUCCCCCUGUUCCUCUCCGACACUGCUCGCGCCUGGUUGGAGCACCUGCCUCCGGGGCAGAUUUCCAACUGGGACGACUUGGUCCAAGCCUUCGCUGGCAAUUUCCAGGGCACAUACGUGCGCCCCGGGAACUCCUGGGACCUUCGAAGCUGCCGGCAACAGCCAGGGGAGUCGCUCCGGGACUAUAUCCGGCGAUUCUCGAAGCAGCGCACCGAGCUGCCCAACAUCACCGACUCGGAUGUCAUCGGCGCGUUCCUCGCCGGCACCACUUGCCGCGACCUGGUGAGCAAGCUGGGUCGCAAAACCGCCACCAGGGCGAGCGAGCUGAUGGACAUCGCCACCAAGUUCGCCUCCGGCCAGGAGGCGGUCGAGGCUAUCUUCCGAAAGGACAAGCAGCCCCAGGGCCGCCCGUCGGAAGAAGCUCCCGAGGCGUCUGCUCCGCGCGGCGCCAAGAAGAAAGGCAAGAAGAAGUCGCAAUCGAAACGCGACGCCGCAGACGCGGACCUUGUCGCCGCCGCCGAGUAUAAGAACCCUCGGAAGCCCCCCGGAGGUGCAAACCUCUUCGACAAGAUGCUCAAGGAGCCGUGCCCCUACCAUCAGGGGCCCGUCAAGCACACCCUCGAGGAGUGCGUUAUGCUUCGGCGUCAUUUCCACAGGGCCGGGCCACCCGCCGAGGGUGGCAGGGCCCACGACGACGACAAGAACGAAGAACACCCAGCAGGGGGGUUCCCCGAGGUCCGCGACUGCUUCAUGAUCUAUGGAGGGCAUGCGGCGAAUACCUCGGCUCGGCACCGCAAGCAAGAGCGCCGGGAGGUCUGCUCGGUGAAGGUGGCGGCGCCAGUCUACCUAGACUGGUCCGACAAGCCCAUCACUUUCGACCGGGCCGACCACCCCGACCAUGUGCCGAGCCCGGGGAAAUACCCGCUCGUCGUCGACCCCGUUGUCGGCGAUGUCAGGCUCACCAAGGUCCUGAUGGACGGGAGCAGCUGCCUCAACAUCAUCUACGCCGAGACCCUCAAGCUUCUGCGCGUCGAUCCGUCCUCCGUCCGAGCAGGUGCUGCGCCCUUCCACGGGAUCAUCCCUGGGAAGCGCGUCCAGCCCCUCGGGCGACUCGACCUCCCAGUCUGCUUCGGGACACCCUCCAACUUCCGAAGGGAGACCCUGACGUUCGAAGUGGUCGGGUUCCGAGGAACCUACCACGCCGUGUUAGGGAGGCCAUGCUACGCGAAGUUCAUGGCCGUCCCCAACUACACCUACCUGAAGCUCAAGAUGCCGGGCCCCAACGGGGUCAUCACCGUCGGCCCCACGUACAAACACGCGUUCGAAUGCGACGUGGAGUGCGUGGAGUACGCCGAGGCCCUCGCCGAGUCCGAGGCCCUCAUCGCCGACCUAGAGAACCUCUCCAAGGAGGUCCCAGACGUGAAGCGCCAUGCCGGCAACUUCGAGCCAGCGGAGACGGUCAAGGCCGUCCCCCUCGACCCCAGCGGCGACACCACCAAGCAGAUCCGGAUCGGUUCCGGGCUCGACCCCAAAUAGGAAGCAGUGCUCGUCGACUUUCUCCGCGCAAACGCCGACGUCUUUGCGUGGAGUCCCUCGGACAUGCCCGGCAUACCAAGGGAUGUCGCCGAGCACUCGCUGGAUAUUCGGGCCGGAGCCCGACCCGUCAGGCAGCCUCUGCGCCGAUUCGACGAGGAGAAGCGCAGAGCGAUUGGCGAAGAGAUCCACAAGCUAAUGGCGGCAGGGUUCAUCAAAGAGGUAUUCCAUCCCGAAUGGCUUGCCAACCCUGUGCUUGUGAGGAAGAAAGGGGGGAAAUGGUGGAUGUGUGUAGACUACACUGGUCUCAACAAAGCAUGUCCGAAGGUUCCCUACCCUCUGCCUCGCAUCGACCAAAUCGUGGAUUCCACUGCUGGGUGCGAAACCCUGUCCUUCCUCGAUGCCUACUCGGGGUAUCACCAGAUCCGGAUGAAAGAGUCCGACCAGCUCGCGACUUCUUUCAUCACGCCGUUCGGCAUGUACUGCUACGUCACCAUGCCGUUCGGCCUGAGGAAUGCAGGCGCGACGUACCAGCGGUGCAUGAACCAUGUGUUCGGCGAACACAUCGGUCGCACAGUCGAGGCCUACGUCGAUGACAUCGUGGUCAAGACACGGAAGGCUCCCAGCCUCCUCUCCGACCUUGAAGUGACAUUCCGGUGUCUCAAGGCGAAAGGAGUCAAGCUUAAUCCUGAGAAGUGUGUCUUCGGGGUGCCCCGAGGCAUGCUCCUAGGGUUCAUCGUCUCUGAGCGAGGCAUCGAGGCCAACCCGGAGAAGAUUGCGGCCAUCACCAGCAUGGGGCCCAUCAAGGACUUAAAAGGGGUACAGAGGGUCAUGGGAUGCCUCGCGGCCCUGAGCCGCUUCAUCUCACGCCUCGGCGAAAGAGGUCUGCCUCUGUACCGCCUCUUAAGGAAGGCCGAGUGUUUCGUUUGGACCCCUGAGGCCGAGGAAGCCCUCGGCAACCUGAAGGCGCUCCUUACAAAGGCGCCAGUCUUGGUGCCGCCGGCGGACGGAGAAACCCUCUUGGUCUACGUCGCCGCGACCACUCAGGUGGUUAGCGCCGCGAUUGUGGUCGAAAGGCAGGAGGAAGGGCAUACAUUGCCCGUUCAGAGGCCGGUCUACUCCAUCAGCGAAGUGCUGUCCGAGACUAAGAUCCGCUACCCACAAGUUCAAAAGCUGCUGUAUGCUGUGAUCCUGACGAGGCGGAAGCUACGACACUACUUCGAGUCCCAUCCGGUAACUGUGGUGUCAUCCUUCCCCCUGGGGGAGAUCAUCCAGUGCCGAGAGGCCUCAGGCAGGAUCGCAAAGUGGGCAGUGGAGAUCAUGGGUGAAACGAUCUCGUUCGCCCCUCGGAAGGCCAUCAAGUCCCAAGUGUUGGCGGAUUUCGUGGCUGAAUGGGUCGACACCCAACUACCAACGACUCCGAUCCAACCGGAGCUCUGGACCAUGUUUUUCGACGGGUCGCUGAUGAAGACGGGGGCCGGUGCGGGCCUUCUCUUCAUCUCGCCCCUCGGAAAGCACUUGCGCUACGUGCUGCGCCUCCACUUCCCGGCGUCCAACAAUGUGGCCGAGUACGAAGCUCUGGUCAACGGAUUGCGGAUCGCCAUCGAGCUAGGGGUCAGACGCCUCGACGCCCGCGGUGACUCGCGGCUCGUCAUCGACCAAGUCAUGAAGAACUCCCACUGCCGCGACCCGAAGAUGGAGGCCUACUGCGACGAGGUUCGGUGCCUGGAAGACAAGUUCUUCGGGCUCGAGCUCAACCACAUCGCUCGGCGCUACAACGAAACCGCAGACGAGCUGGCCAAGAUAGCCUCGGGGCGAACGACGGUCCCCCCGGACGUCUUCUCCCGGGAUCUACAUCAACCCUCCGUCAAGCUCGACGACGCACCCGAGCCUGAGGUACCCUCGGCUCAGCCCGAGGUAUCCUCGGCUCAGCCCGAGGUACCCUCGGCUCAGCCCGAGGUACCCUCGGCCCCCGAGGGCGGGGCGUUGAACGUCGAGGAAGGGCAGAGCGGGGCCACGCCAGACCAAGAUUGGCGGGCCCCAUACCUGCAAUAUCUCCGUCGAGGAGAGCUACCCCUCGACCAAGUCGAGGCUCGGCGGGUAGCGCGACGCGCCAAGUCAUUCGUCUUGCUGGGCGACGAAGAGGAACUCUACCAUCGCAGCCCCUCGGGCAUCCUCCAGCGAUGCAUCCCCAUCGCCGAAGGUCGGGAACUGCUGCAAGAAGUACACUCGGGGGCUUGCGGCCACCACGCAGCACCCCGAGCCCUUGUUGGAAAUGCCUUCCGGCAAGGCUUCUACUGGCCAACGGCGGUGGCUGACGCCACUAGGAUUGUCCGCACCUGCGAAGGGUGCCAAUUCUAUGCGAAGCGGACACACCUGCCCGCUCAGGCUCUGCAGACAAUACCCAUCACCUGGCCCUUCGCUGUAUGGGGUCUCGACCUCGUCGGUCCCUUGCAGAAGGCGCUCGGGGGCUACACGCACCUGCUGGUCGCCAUCGACAAAUUCUCCAAGUGGAUCGAGGUCCGACCCCUGAACAGCAUCAGGUCCGAGCAGGCGGUGGCAUUCUUCACCAACAUCAUCCAUCGCUUCGGGGUCCCGAACUCCAUCAUCACCGACAACGGCACCCAGUUCACCGGCAAAAAAUUCUUGGAUUUUUGAGAAGAUCACCAUAUCCGGGUGGACUGGGCCGCCGUGGCUCAUCCCAUGUCGAAUGGGCAGGUAGAGCGUGCCAACGGCAUGAUUCUACAAGGGCUCAAGCCUCGGAUCUACAACGACCUCAACAAGUUCGGCAGGCGAUGGAUGAAGGAACUCCCCUCGGUGGUCUGGAGCCUAAGGACGACGCCGAGUCGUGCCACGGGCUUCACGCCGUUUUUUCCUGGUCUACGGGGCUGAAGCUAUCUUGCCCACUGACCUAGAAUACGGCUCCCCAAGGGCGAGGGCCUACACCGAACAAAGCAACCAAGCCAGCCGAGAGGAAUCGCUGGACCAGUUGGAGGAAGCUCGGGACAGGGCCUUACUACACUCGGCGCGGUACCAACAGUCCCUGCGACGCUACCACGCCCGAGGGGUCCGGUCCCGAGAACUCCAGGUGGGCGACCUGGUGCUUCGGCUGCGACAAGACGCCCGAGGGAGGCACAAGCUCACGCCCCCCUGGGAAGGGCCAUUCGUCAUCGCCAAAGUUCUGAAGCCCGGAACAUACAAGCUGGCCAGCAAUCAAGGCGAGAUCUACGGCAACGCUUGGAACAUCAAACAGCUACGUCGCUUCUAUCCUUAAGAUGUUUUCAAGUUGUUCAUAUACCUCGCACCUACGCAAAGUUUAGUUGUCAAGGAAGGGUCGGCCUAGCCUCGGCAAAACCCGACCCUCCCUCGGGGGCUAAAAGGGGGGAGACCCCCUCUGCGUCGAAUUUUUCCUCGAAAAAGGAUCUCUUUUUAGCAGGAUUUCUUUCGUGCUUCUUGACUACUUCGGAAAGCGGAUCCUGGAAACGACGAGGUACACGUAAGCAGCCAAGGCUGACCGAGCCGAGGGACUCCUACGCCUCCGGGAUACAGAUACCUCACUCGUCCCCUUCUGCGAUAAGUAACUUGCGCUCGGAUAAAGCGACUCCGUGGACCGAACGAGUCAUCACGUUCGGAAGCUCUCCUGCCGAAGCAGUCCUUCAAGCUUUCUCGACUAAGUCGGGGACAGGGCCUCAUGGACGGGUGAAAGUACGCGUAAGCGGCAAGGCCGACCGAGCCGAGGGAUUCCCACGCCUCUGGGAUACGGAUACCUCACUCGUCCCUUCCGCGAAAAGCAGCUCUUGCUCACACAAACAUCCCUGUUACCGACGAAGUCCAGAUGCUCGAAACAGGAGGAAAAAAGGCGCAGCUUCGCAAGUGCAGCGAGGGUGUUUUCUUCUGGCCUCGGCGGCCGCAGGAAGCACACGCUACAAGAUGAUCGGAUCCUGCAGGCUCGGGUCUUCACGCCGAAGGGAGCUGUAGCACCCUCGGCAUCGACGACGUCUUCAGCAAAGCCCGACCCAGCCUCGGGCGGCGCCGCGGUCCAGGGGUUCCUCCGGGAAUCCGGCCCGAGCAGGCGGCUCAACCGGUUACCCCUGGGGCCUCGGUCAACUGGCUCCCAAGGGCGCCAGCCCGAUCCGAGGCCUCGACUGAUCGACUUUGGCGUCGGCCCCGCUGACGGACAACACGGCUAGGCUCCGGCCAACCAGGUUCCCAUUCUCGAGCCAACUCCGCCUCUGUUCAUACUGAUAUCGCUACCCCCGGCCUCGAUCCACCGAAGGGCGACCGAGGGGUCUCUUCAACUAAGCUAGAGGAGCCUCACAUAACAAGGCCGAACGGGCCGAGGGAUUCCUACGCCUCCGGGAUACGGAUACCUCACCCGUCACCUUGACACGGGGCAACUCAUGCUUGGUAAAGCGGUUCAGAUAAUCAAACAGGCGAGACCUAGUGCUCGAAAAUGAGGAAAAAACACGGCUCCGUGCCAAAAUUACAUACACGUUCAGGCCUCGACAGCCACAAUGAACGAACUCACUGGCAUUCGAAGUGCCAUUACAAACGGAACUCCGGUUCCCCCUCCGCAGGUACGAACAACCCCACUCCGAGGGGGAAGGCCUGCGGAGCAACGGAAGGCCAACGAACGGCGCGCCGUCACCUACUCCAGCAGUGGCGACGACGGCGACUUCUGCUCCGGGGGCCGAACAGCGGCAACGCUGACCUCAGGGUGGAUGCCGCUGCCAGGAGGCCCCCGCCCGUGCCAAAACUCGUGAGGCAAGGACGGGCAGAAGGCCGUAGAAGUUGGAGGUCAGCCCGUGGCCGGUCCCGGCCGCCGCGCCGGCGGAAGAACCUCUUCCGGCUGCCGUGGCAGACGCCGACGCCGCAAGUGGCCCCGAAGCCACUCGCGGCUGAAGACCAGGCACGCUGCAGCUGCCGGACGCCACGGGCAAUGCCCGCUUCUCCCCCCAUCACUGAGUGAAGGAGCGGGCCACCGCCCACGCAGGGGCCGACCCCAACUCGGCACUCUCCCCUCCCCGGCCUUGGUGAUGAAAAUCCUUGAGGCUGAGGAAGGGGCAGAGGCCGCAGCCCGGCUCGCUUUCCCCCACCAUCAAGCUGGAGGUCGCCAUCUCGGGUGACCGCCGGUGAAGGGGUGCGACCGGGCUGCGUGAUGAAAAUCCUUGAAGCCGAACGAUGGCUGAGAGGUACCAACUCCCAUGGAGUUGCGUUCCUCCAACGAGGAGGCGGAAAGGCGGCGGAUACCCCCCAUCCGGGGGCUUGGAAGACGGGAAGACCCGACGCUUAAGGGAGGAAGAAGACAUGGUUGCCUUACGAAGGGAGCCUCCCUCCUUUUAAAAGCAACUCCCCUACGUGCGCCCCCAAGCGCCGCGGGCCGAGUCUUCUCCAACACGCUCCAAGGCCCUCCCCUGCGACUCGGGGGCUGGGUCCCGCAUGUCAUGCAAGCCGGCUCAGGGCAGAAGAAGCCAAACCGCCGCGCAUGGUGCGCACGACCGUCCAGCGGUUACAGGCGACCCCCCAUUUUCGCCCAGACCAACGGGCGGGAGGGGCGGGCAGCCAUGCAGGCGGCAUGCAACCGCGCCAGAUGGACGCGCUUCUCCGACUUCUGACACGCCAGCCUGGAACCCAGGCCCACGCGUCGAGCAACCGGCACGCCAGUUGCUGCAUGCAAGCAACCGCACCGCCACUUGUGCCACCAUCGCGCCUCUUCGGUUGCGAAGCCUGUGCCACGACUCGAGGCGACCCAACAGCGCCAGACUGGCGCGUCGGUCAAAGCGACCGAAAGUGGGCCGGCAGUAAUAGCGGUGGCAGGCGGGCGGGCACAGCAGUCACGUCGUCAGCCAGGCUCACGUCCCAUCCUGAGACAGCAAGGGAGCCUCCUCUCACGGCGUGAAGACAGUGCACCCGUGACCCAUUCCUCGAACGGAUCGCACGCGCGCAACGGCCGCCCCGUCAACCACUCACCCCGUCGCAUUAACUCCGCGGCGAGACACGCGGCGCUUCUGGCAGGAGGAGCGCGCGACGCUUCACCUUCGCCGUAAUAACCGCGUCAGAAAAGGUACGCCACGUCGUCCGAUUUCGUAUCCUUUUCCGUUUUCCUCUUUCUCUAUCUCUUGCAACAGGGACCGGGAAAGGGGGAUACCCCGAAAGGGAUCCUUCUCCGCGAAGGAACCGGGCUCCGAGCCCCCCAUUACUGAUCAGGGGUUCGAAGGUUGGCCCCCCGAGGGUUCAACAGUCGCCUCAGAUCGCGUGGGCCCGACACCCACUACUGGUCAGGGGUUCGAAGGCCAGCCCCCCGAAGGGCUUCAUGGCCGCCUCAGGCUACUCGGGCUCCGCGCCCAUUACUGAUCAGGGGUUCGAAGGCUGGCCCCCGAAGGGUUCACAGUCGCCUCAGACACCGAGCGAGGGAUGACCAGGGGUACGUUCGAUACAUAACCGAGGCUCGGGCUGCGCUCCCGAGGUACCCUAGGACAUUUCCGAGACCAGUGGGAACGAUCUUGUAACGGAAUCCCAUCGGAGGGAGGCAUCGAGCCCUCAGACCCCGUCGCCAGGGGACCGGGUCCGGCAAAUCACCCGCAGGUACUUUUGGGCGUGCCUCUGGGCCCCUAGCCGACCCCCAACGAACGGGGCACAGACGUCCACUCGGAUUACCCGCUUGCAGCUCACCGGAGACACCAUGUUCGGUGCCCAUCGAGGGUAACAUGGCGCACUCCCCCCCUCCUCCUUGCGGAAAGGCGACGAAGGGGCGUAUGUAAAAAGCCGAGUCUGUCCCUGAUCGUCCUCUCGCCCUGUGCAGAGGCUCGGGGGCUGCUCUCGCAAAAACCGGCUCCGGCCAAAUCGUUGACAGCGUCAACAUACCAGCCCGAGAGCUUGGGCCCCGACCGUGCACCCGGGCUACGGCCAGUUCGCAUGAGGGAACGACCAGACCAGCCAAAGUAUUAAGACCUCGAAGGAGUGUAACCACUCCUCCGAGGCCUCGGGGGCUACACCCGGCGGGUGCGCUCGCGCGCACCCACCGGAACGAAAUGCAACCGAGAAAGGCUGGUCCCCUUGCAAAAAAGUGCGACAAAAGCCUCCAAGCGAGUGCUAACACUCCCUUCGAGGCUCGGGGGCUACUGUCGGGGACCAUAAUUAGGGGUACCCUCAAGACGCCUAAUUCUCAGCUGGUAACCCCCAUCAGCAUAAAGCUGCAAAGGCCUGAUGGGCAUGAUUAAGUCAGGGAUCAGUCCACACGAGUGACUCGAUCACGCUUCACCUGAGCCUAGCCUCGGCCGAAGGCAGCCAACCUCGAGAGACUUCCGUCUCGCCCGAGGCCCCCUUUUUAUGGCGGACACAUCACCGGCUCGCCCAAGGCCUUGGCUUCGCUCAGAAGCAACCUUGACUAAAUCACCACACCGACUGACCAAAUUGCAGGGGCAUUUAACGCACAGGAGGCCUGACACCUCUAUCCUGACACGCGCCUCCGGCAGAGCCGAGGUGACCGCCGUCACUCCACCGCUCCACUGGCCAGUCUGACAGAAGGACAGCGCCGCCUGCGCCACUCCGACUGCAGCGCCACUCGACAGAGUAAGUCUGACAGGCAGUCAGGCCUCGACAAAGGCGCCACGGCAAACUCCGCUCCGCCCGACCCCAGGGCUCGGACUCGGGCUAAGACCCGGAAGACGGCGAACUCCGCUCCGCCCGACCCCAGGGCUCGGACUCGGGCUAAGACCCGGAAGACGGCGAACUCCGCUCCGCCCGACCCCAGGGCUCGGACUCGGGCUAAGACCCGGAAGACGGCGAACUCCGCUCCGCCCGACCCCAGGGCUCGGACUCGGGCUAAGACCCGGAAAACGGCGAACUCCGCUCCGCCCGACCCCAGGGCUCGGACUCGGGCUAAGACCCGGAAGACGGCGAUCUCCGCUCCGCCCGACCCCAGGGCUCGGACUCGGGCUAAGACCCGGAAGACGGCGAACUCCGCUCCGCCCGACCCCAGGGCUCGGACUCGGGCUAAGACCCGGAAGACGACGAAACUCCGCCUCGCCCGACCCCAGGGCUCGGACUCCGCCCUGGCCUCGGCCGAACGACUUCCACCUCGACCGACCCCUUGGCUCGGGCUCGGCCACGGCAACAGAAGGCAGACUCAACCUCGGCUUCGGAGGAAACCCCACGUCGCCCUGCCUAGGGCACAGACCGCCACGUCAACAGGAGGCGCCAUCAUCAUCCCACCCCGAAUCGACUCGGGUCACGGAGAACGAGACCGGCGUCUCAUCCGGCCAGCUCCGCCAGAGGGGCAAUGAUGGCGCUCCACAAGCUCUAUGACGACGGCGGCCCCUAGCUCUCUUACGGAAGCAGGACAACGUCAGCAGGGACUCGACCGCUCCAACAGCUGUCCCUCCAUCAGGCUCCGCCGCACCUCCAACAGCCACGACAUCACGCCAGCAGGGUGCCCAGAUCUCUCCGGCUGCCACAUUGGCAUGUACCUAGGGCGCUAGCUCUCCCUCCGCUAGACACGUAGCACUCUGCUACAUCCCCAUUGUACACCUGGAUCCUCUCCUUACGACUAUAAAAGGAAGGACCAGGGCCUUCUCAGAGAAGGUUGGCCGCGCGGGACCGAGGACGGGACAGGCGCUCUCUUGGGGCCGCUCGCUUCCCUCACCCGCGUGGACGCUUGUAACCCCCCUACUGCAAGCGCACCUGACCUGGGCGCGGGACGAACACGAAGGCCGCGGGACUUCCACCUCUCUCACGCUCGGCUCCGGCCGCCUCGCCUCUCCCCCCUUCGCGCUCGCCCACGCGCUCGACCCAUCUGGGCUGGGGCACGCAGCACACUCACUCGUCGGCUUAGGGACCCCCCUGUCUCGAAACGCCGACAAGCAGGGCAUCACUACGUAGCCUUUACAAAGAUUCCCCGAGGCUGUAGCCGCCCGUUAAGUUUCCUAAAUGUACCGCACUCCUCCCUAAGGGACAAAUCAACCUUGGCAGAGCGAGCCGCAUACACCGAGCCCCAUUGACGGCACAACGGCUAAGCGAACUACAACCCGGUUCCUCUAAUUACUCAGCUAAGGGCGUCCCACUCCACCCUCAUGGUUGCACUGUUUUCCCGGGCAGUCAUCCAACGAACAGGUCCUUACGGAGAGGCACUCGAGAAACCGCUCGAGCCCCCUUGAAGGUCACAAGUAUAACAUCAUAAUAAAAAAGGGGAAAACAACGUAUCAUAAAUAAUUCUCAUCAUGUUCAUUGAUUAAUGUUAAGCAAUAGCAUAAAGCUAACCAAUAAUAAUCCAACCCAAGUAGGUAAACAAGGACAUGGAUAACAAAAGCUAGUCAAUCCUUAGGCAUAAAUGUGUAAUGCGGGAGGUGAAUUAAAGAAUGAAUAGGACAGAGAUAGGUCAAGGGACACUUGCCUCCACCAACCGACUGCUGCUCAGGGGCUUCUCCUGUGAGCUCUUCGGGUUCUUCAACCGGAUCGUUCUCUAUGCGAGUGCAAACAUACAUACAUCCAUCCAUUCAAAUUAGGAAACAAACAGUACACCAUACAAGAGAACAAAAAGAUUAAACAUGCAUAAAAUAUGACAUACGAUAUUGCAUUUACCAUGGUUAGAAAGAGACGGGGGAGGGUCUCGUGGGGUCAAAGCUUACUCGAAACGUAUUACGGGUAGAUGCAUAACUAAGCGCUACGUGACUUAAUUCCAUCGAGUUACACUAACAAGUAUUAGCCACAUGCGUUAAUAUAACUAUAACUAUUUUCAAUUGAUCAACAUUGAACGAGGUCCAAGAUUAGCUACAUGCACUAAUUGAAACAUAACCACUUUUAGUAGAUCAACAUUAAAUGGGAUAGCCCAUUAACUAUAUAAAUUAACUAAUGUAACCAAUUCCUAAAUUGAGUUUCCUAUUUUAUUAACAUGAACAACGUGACUAGCGCGCAUAAAAUAUAGGGUAGAUGGGCACGUCUAGGGGUAGACGAGGGCAUGACGAGCCGUGCCAAGGCACCACGCACUACACGAGUAGCGCGAGCGCAAGGCUGCACACACGCGCCGCGAACUAGCCGUGCACACGUCGGGGCCGCGCGCCAAAGGCACGUUGGACCUAGCUCGAGGCCGCACCGGGGCCGUCACGACGCGAGCAGGACACGUCGGGGCGGGCGGGCAAGCACGCCGGGGCGAGCGAGCACGGGCGAGCGAGGACGCUGCGGAUCACGGCGGGCCACCAUUGCCGCGCCAUGGCCGGGACGGGGCCGAGGCCGGGCGGGGAAGCGGCGUGGGCGGGACGGGGACGAGCGCGUGAGCGGGGGGGGGGGGGUCAGGGACGCUGCGCGGGUGCCAAGGGCAAGGCCGGGCGGGGACGAGGCCGGGCCGCGCCGGGGAGAGGGAGGGAGGGGGAGAGGAGAGGGAGGAGGGGGGAGGGGCUUACCACGCGGGGGAGGGAGGCCGGCGGCGAGCGGUGCGGCGGCGAGCCGAGUGAGGGCGCAGGCGGAUCGGGCAGGGGAGCAAGGGCGAGCAGGGGAGGGGAGAGGAAGGGGGUUUGGGGAGGGGCCCGCUCGGGGGAGGUGGUGGCGGUUUUCCCAACCGCGCGCGCGGUGGGCGCAGCGUGGGGAGCGGGGGGAGCUGGCGGGGGCGGCUGGGCCGGCUGGCCAGCGCAGUGCCCACGGCGGGAAGGGAGAGAGGGGGGGGGGAAGAGGCCGGCUGGGCCGGGCGCGAGGGGGGGGGCUGGGCCGAAAUGGGAGGAGAGGGGGAAAGAUAGAAGAAAAGAUUGUCCUUUUUUAUAUUUAUUUUCUAUAUGAAUGCUUUCACACGUUCAAACAAUCAAAGAAAUGCAUGGUUCGACAUGUGCAACAGACCAAAGAAAAUAACCCUAGUGUUUACUAUUAUCACAUAACCUAAAGUUUUUAAGUCGGGUGAGGUUUUAGCGAAAAGAAAUGGAAAGAGGGGUAACGCCUGAAUUUAGCGAGCGAUAGAGAAAAGAAAAAAAUUCAACUCGAAAUUCGGGGCGUUACAACAGGUAGCACAACAAUCAAGCUUAGGAGUAAUACUGAUUUGCAAUAAUAUACUGAAGAUACAAGGUACCGUCCUUUGAAGAGCCAGAUGCAGAUUCUCAUCAAAGUCCUUUGCUUGAUUCACCAAUAAUGAUUAAGGACUUCUACAACUUAUUUAACUUGAGAUGAACAUGGGAUUAGUAUUGCACAAUAAUCCACCCUUGAGUUAAUAGACAAUAAAGAUCAACAGCUUAAGCAUAGAGUUUAAAUUAACCAUCUUAAGCUCUCCCAGGGUCUCCAUUCCAUCUCGAGGCACCUGCAGGGUCUAGUUGACAAAGUUUGGUACCCAUCUCGGGAUGGGUCCUUGACGUUCAACUAAAAAUGCCUUUGGUACCCAAAUAGCCUUUGUGCUAGUUCUAGGUGAUCUCGUUAUAGAUCUAGCACAAGUGUAUGAUUCGGGUCUCCUAAGCUAAUGAGAUUUAGACAAAUUUACUUGCUUAGGAACCUUACCUUUAUUACAUACCUUUGAUAGAUGACCCUGCUCACCACACUUGUAGCAGAAGCGUCGCUCAACCUGACAUGACGCUUGCUGUUUGUCAUUUUCCUUGGUGAGAGUCAUCUUGGAGAAUGCACAUCUUUGAUUCUUCAUGACCGAACAUGAAAUGAUCAUGUGGUCCUUGUUGUUGCAUCCAAAACAUCUCAUUGUCCCUUCAUCCUUGUCGUUGUACGGACAAGAUGCGAUGAGGUGGCCUAAUGCUUUGCACUUGAAGCAUCUCCUUUUUCCUCUUAUCUUUUGACUUAUUGCUUUAGGACCAUCUUUCGCAAGGAGGUUAACCCUUGCUGCGGUUUCUCCUUCCUCAUGUUUCUUCACCAUGUGUUUGUAGAUAUCUUGAGGAAGUCGAGCAUGGCGUCUUCUCCUUAGUUGUCUUUGUUUCUUGUUCCCAAGCAAUUUUCUUUUAGACCCUACAACUUGUUGCUCAAUCAAGGAUUGGCUUUCUUUUGAGGAGCGGGGGUUAGAACAUGGUGAUAUACAAUUUGAAUGCGUACACUUGCAAGAAUGAGGUUCACAUGAAUUUAAGUUUGCAAAGACAACCUUAUUAGCAAUAUUGAGCAUGAUAUGGUCAUCAACCAAUUCACUAUGAGAAUUUGACAACAUAUCAUACUUUUCAUUUAGAGCAAGUUUUUCAAGAUUUAGCAUCUCUACUUGACUCCUAAGCAUAGAAUUUUCAGCUUUAAGUUGAGCAACACAAGAUAAAGUAUCAUCAUUAUUUCUUUGCUCAAUUAAAAAUGAAUCAUACCGCUGGACCAAAUCAUCAUGAGAGCACUUUAGCUCCUCAUGUUCUUUGGUCAUCUUCUCCAGGCUGUUGUUUGUUUUGAUGAGUGUCUCCUCUAGCCUGAGAAGCGUCUCGCCUUGUUCCUUGUUUCUUCUCAACAGCUUAACCAAGAGCGCUUUGUCCUCUUUGUUGAGAUGGAUGUAGAAACGGUGAAUCUCCUCUUCUUCUACAUCGUCGAUCUCAUAUUCCCUGUCACUAUUGUCAGUGGAAGCAAUAUAGGGAAAUGUACCUUGUGAUGAUGUAGACUCCUCAUCAUUGCUUUCGUCUCCACUAUCAUCGUUAGCAAUAAGACAUUUAUAACUAGUGGAAGACAAACCUUUCGGUGAGGUAGAUUCAUCGUUUGGUGGCCAACGCUUUUCUUCUCCCUUUGAAGGGUUAGUAUCACAAGCAAUAUAGGGAGUAGGAGCAUCACAAUUUGCCACAGAAUAUUUUACUUUAAUUCUAUUCCAUAAAUCAUGAGCAUCAACAAAUAAAUCACUAUCACUACUCAUGAUGGCAAAAUAAGCACUUCUAGAAAGAGAGUCAACUAAGAUGUUGCAAGCACGGUGAUUGAGAGAUAAACAUCUUAGUUCAGUAUUAGAGGGAUUUUUACUAAUAUCAGAGGGAAAAAUACUUCUACUAAAGAUUUGUCUUAAAUCAGGAUCAACACUCAUGAAGGCAUUAUAAAUAGAGACAGACCAAGAUUUAUAAUUAGAUCCAUCGCCUAGAAGAAGUUCUACAGUUACCUCUUGUGACGACAUCGUCAUCUCCGGACGGCUAAGCCCACACUAGAGAGGCCUAGCUCUGAUACCAAUUGAAAGUUCCCUUUACCCGGGAACAUGAUCUGGAUGUCUCCUAGAGGGGGGGGGGGUGAAUAGGCGAAUAAAAAUUAUCAUUGUAAAACUUAAAUUCUUACUCUACUCGAAGACUAGAACGCAGUGGAAUGAGAAGACCCUUCGAGUAGGUUGCAGCGGAAUAGAAGAUCCUGUCUCAAAACGUCCUGCACUUCAAAUAUAACUUGUACCAUAGAUAAGUGUUGAAAUGCAGAUAUAAAAGCGAGUAAGACAGAGAGUCAGAACACAAUACAGAACAGAGCACACAGACGCAAGGAUUUAUCUCGAGGUUCGGCCAAGCCUAAAACGCUUGCCUAGUCCUCGUUGGAGUUAGCCACACUUGGGCUUGGAGUCUAUUUCAACUCCUUCCUCCGUUUGCUCAAAUCUGUCAAUCUGACAGGUAGAGCCUUCCACUAUGUUGAGAUGGUUACAACGAAACUGUGGCUGCUUACAAUCUUCUUGGCAGCACUCCGGUAGAGUAACGAUAUGCUCAAGACCUUGCUCUAGCUCUUAGCAGCUCUUCUCCACUCUCUAAAGGCUUAUAGCUUUGCCUUCUACACAAACUAGAGAGAUACACACAAGAGGGAGAGUGAGAAUUGAUCAGAGUGAUGUAUACUAUCAUUGGCUGCGCUUGUCUAUUGUUUAAGGCGCCUAGAGGUCCCUUUUAUAGGCCCAAGGGGCCUAGGAGCCGUUGGAAGCAAUCCAGGAAGGCAAAUCUUGCCUUUUGUCGGGUGGCGCACCGAACAGUCCGGUGCACCACCGGACAUCCACUAUUCAUGGUCCGGUGCGGAUCUCCUUCCAAACUUGGCGCAGUCGACCGUUGCAGACUGGGAGCCGUUGGCGCACCGGACACUGUCCGGUGCACACCGGACAGUCCGGUGCCCCCAUCUGACCGUUGGCUCGGCCACGCGUCACGAGCGGAUUGCGCGGUCGACCGUUGGCCCGGCUGACCGUUGGCUCACCGGACAGUCCGGUGCACCACCGGACAGUCCGUUGGACUAUAGCCGUACACUGUUGACUUGAUUCCCGAGAGCGGCGACUUCGCCUCAGCCCACUCACCGGACAGUCUGGUACACCACCGGACAGUCCGGUGAUUUAUAGCCGUACGCCACUGUCGAGACCCGAGAGCAGCCGGUUGACCAGACGCCAGCCUGGCGCACCGGACACUGUCCGGUGCACCACCGGACACUGUCCAGUGCACCACCGGACAGUCCGGUGCACCCAGACUUCGUAUAGUCAUGGCUGCACCAGCCAAGUCUUUCUCUUUUUGUAUUUUCUCUUCUUUUCUUCUUCUCUUUGUUUCUAAUACUUAGACAAAUAUGUUAGUACACAAAAACCAAUGUACUAAGUCUAGAAACAUACCUUCUCUUGGACUUUCACUUCUCUAGCACUUGACAUGCUUAAGAUUGAUAUUGGACUCAUAAAUCAUCAAGUCAGCUUGACUUGAUCUAGAUUAUCAUUUCUGAGCUCCAACAUCCUGCAAAGGUCACAUAGAAUAUCUCCAAACAUAGGAACAACCCGAACUAAAGGUCAAAGUGCACUUAGCUCUUUUGGGCGGCUUCCAGUUCUGAUUUUGACAUUUGUUCUCCUUCUAGUGACUUUGUUCUCCUUCUUAGAGCUUGAUCUUGAGCCUUAUGACUUACACCACAUAACUAUAGAUGUUUCCUCAUUGGUUGUAAGUCACGUCCUUAUGUAGUGAUCCUUGAUGUGCCAUAGCUCUUCUCAACUCGAUCACCCUUGACUUUGCAAGUCUUCUUCUUCACCCUUGGCUUUGGGUUCCUCAGCCUCUUUGACCUUCUCCCAUGCACUUGGUACCUCAAAGCUCUUCUUGCCUCCAUCCUUGGCUUGAUCAGUUGUCUCCGAGCUAUGCACCCGAGUCUCACUUUAUGCAAUGUGCAUCUUACUUGUGAUGUCCAUUAUCUAUCCAUAAUCUAGUCCUUGGACCGUCACACUUGUUCACUUGUGUUGAACCUUGUUAGCUUUACAUUAAGCACCUGUUCAACACUUAGCACACUUGUUAGUCCUUUAAUUGAGUUGUCAUCCAAACACCAAAACCCAAAAGAUAACUUUCACAUACAUGCGCCAAGAAGACAACAUAUAUAAUAACAGAGUGUAUAGAGAUAAAUGUCAAUAACAUCAGAGUAUUUUUACAUAGCGAAGGUCUUAUUACAAAAUUAAAGAUAAAUAUAAAACGAACUAAGGAUCGUCCUUGGCGCAAAAGUCAACUGGGGACACGCAACCUAGAUCAGAUCAAACUCCUCGCCUUGUGGUUCCUCCUGAAUCACCUGUUCUUCUCCUGUGGGGGGUGUGAGACAGCAAGGGUGAGCUCACACAUGAUCAUAGCUCAAUAAGUUGUGGGGAAACCAGUGGGCAUGAACUCACAAAGGUGGGAGUUCAUGUGAUGUGUAAGGCUAAUCAAUGACAGGGGUUAAAGCUGAGCAUUGCUUUUAAUUAGUUGGUCAAAAUUUUAUUAGCAGUUACUAGAUGUAAGUGUCGGCGUCUUGGACCCGGGGGGUCCCUUGGACCGACCAGUGAAAUCGCUACGUGCCCCUGCCCAGAUGGGUUGGCGCGAGAUGGAACACAAGAGGUGGGACAAGCCUUGUAUUAUCCUGCACCAGGGGUGCCGCUCGUAGUAGGGGUUACAAGCGCGUCGCGUGGGAGAGAGAGAGAGACACAGAGUCCGUCCGCCGCUUCCCCCGCGCGAACCCCCCUCAGGGUGGCCCUGGACCUCCCUUUUAUAGAGGCAAGGAGAGGGUCCAGACGUACAACGGGGGGCGUAGCUAUGCGCUAACGUGUCUGGCAGUGGAGUGCCUUAGCCCUGUGUACAUGCCAACGUGGCCAUUAGGGGAGAACUUGGGCCCUGUACAUGUGAUGGCGUGGCCGUCGGAGGAGCGCUUGAGUCCUUUAGGAGCACAGCUGGCAGCGCGGUAGGGAUCCUGCUGACGUCUCCUUAAUGUCGUAAGGGGCUGAGAGCCACCGGCGUCAUGGUGCACGCGGGGCACCAUCAUUACCCGUCGCCGGCGUAAGCCAGAUGGGACGCCGGUCUUGUUCCUUGUAGCCUGAGCAGGCUAGGAAUAGGGAAAUGAUGUAUCCCCUAUUAGCACGGUCGGUCCGAGCCUAGGGUCGGUCGAAGCGGAGACUUCUCUUGAGGCCGAGGCUGGGGUCGGGCGAGGACGCGUUUCCUCCCGAGACCGGGGUCGAGGCCGAGUCCGAGGGUCGGGCGAGGCGGAGACCUCCUCCCGAGGCUAGAGCCUGAGGUCGGGCGAGGCGGAAACCUCCUCCCGAGGCUGGAGCAUGAGGUCAGGUGAGGCGGAGCUUCCUGUUGCGCCCGAGGCUGAACUCGGUGGUUGAUCAUGACUUGUUGUCAGUCGUCGCCGGGGUGGCUGACACGGCAGUCGGAGCGGAGCGAGCGACAAUGUUUUCCUGUCAUAUCAGACAGUAAAGAAGAGGGGCAAAGUGACUGCGGUCACUUUGGCCUGCCCGACUGAGGCGCGUGUGUCAGGAUAAUGCGUCAGGCAUCCCCUGCAUUUAAUGUGCCUGCGAAGCGGUCGGUUGGUGAGGCGGUCUGGCCAAGGUUGCUUCACAAUGAAGCCUACCCGAGCCGGGCCUCGGGAGAGCCGAGGGGGCGCCCGCUGCCUGAGGAGGCCCUCGGGCGAGGCGUGAACUCGUCUGGGACUACUGUUCUCACCCGAGGCUGGGCUCGGGUGAGAUCCGUCCCUCGGGUAGACGAAGUCUUGACCUGAACCGCACCCGUCAGUUGGUCUGAGGGUGUUUACCAGCCAUGAUUAGGAGCAUUGGGGGUACCCCUAAUUAUGGUACCCGAUAGUAGCCCCCGAUCCUCGAAGGGAAUGUUGGUACUCGCUUGGAGGCUUUUGCCGCGUUUUCGGUGAGGGGACCGGCCUUUCUCGGUUUUUGCCUUGUUCUGGUGGGUGCGUGCGAGCGCACCCGCCGGGUGUAGCCCCCGAGGCCUCGGAGGAGUGGUUUGACUCCUCUGAGGUCUGAAUGCUUUUCGUGGUGCUUCGGCCAGUCUGAUCGUUCUAUCACGCGGCCCGGCCGUAGCCCAGGUGCGUGGUCGGGUUCCAAGUUAUCAAGCUGGCUUGUUGACGCUGUCAACAGUUUUGGCCGUAGCCGGGUGCGAGAGCAGCCCCCGAGCCUCUGCACGGAGCGAGAGGACGAUCAAGGACUUUCCCGACUCUUAUCAUACGCCCCUGCGUUGCCUUUCCGCAAGGAGGAGGGGGGAAAGUGCCACGUUGCCCUCGGAGGGCGCCGAACAUGGUGUUUCCAGUGAGCUGCUAACGGGUGAUCCGAGUGGACGCCCGUGCCCCGUUCGUUAGGGGUCGGCUGGUGGCCCAGAGGCGCCCUCCAAAAGUACCUGCGGGUGAUUUGCCGGACCCAGACCCCUUCGACAGGGUCCGAGGGCUCGAUGCCUCCCUCUGGUGGGACUCCGUUACAAAUCGUUCCCGCCGGUCUCGAAAAUGUCCUAGGGUACCUCAGUAGCGUAAUCCGAGCCUCGGCUAUGUAUCGAAUGUACCCAGAGUCAUCCCUCACUCUACAUGCUUUGGGGCGACUGUCGAACCCUUCCGAGGGGCAAGCCUACGAACCCCAGAUCAGUAGUGGGCACGGAGCCCGAGCGCUCUGGGGUGGCUGUCGAACCCUUCCGAGGGGCCAGCCUUCGAACCCCUGAUCAGUAAUGGGCUUGAGGUCCGAGUGCUCUGGGGCGACUGUCGAAACCCUCCCGAGGGGCCAGCCUUCGAACCCUUGAUCAGUAGGAGGGCUCGGGGCCCGCUUCCUUCACCAAGAAGGAUCCUUUCCACAACAUCCCCUUUCCCGGUCCCUGUAGCAAGAGAGAGAGAGAGGAGGGGAAGGAUAUGAAUUUAAAUAAGGUGGCGCACCUUUUUUGACGCGAUCAUUAUGGCGAAGGCGAAGCGACGCUCGCCUCGCCUGCCAGAGGUGUCGCUUGCUCCGUCGGGAAGUUAAUGCGACGGGAUGGGCGAUUCGCGUGGCGCCCGUUGCGCGCGCGAGCCGUUCGAGGAACGGGGCACGGGCGCGUCAUCUUCACGCCGUGGGAGAGGGCUCUCCCGUGGCUUCAGGUGGGGACGCAAGCCUGCAGGCGACUUGACCGCUGCCUCCGCUCGUCUGUCGCUGCAGUUACUGCCGGCCCGCUUUUGACCAUGCCAACCGUCGUGCCUACCCCGGGGCUGAUCGGCCCAUGGCCGUCACCUUUAACUGGCACUGUUGGGUCCUGCGUAGGGCUACCUCGAGUCGUGGUACUGGUUCCGCAGUCGAGGAGGCGCAGCAUUGGCGUGAGUGGCGGUGUAACUUCUCGCACGUCGUAACCGGCGCGCCGGUUACAUGACAUGCGGGCCCGCUUCCUUUGCGCUGGUCCGCUGGAUGUGGACGAAGCCGAAGGGGCGCACAGUUGCGGUGCAGUUGGAUGCCUGUUGCGUGGCAGUCCACCCUUUCGACCACCGGUUUCUACGAAGAUGGGAGAGCGCUUGUAACCGCGGGACUGUUACAUGCCUCGCGUGCGGCGGUUCGCCUUCUUCGUGCUUCGGAUCAGCUCGUAUGACGUGUGGGUCCCAGCCCCCAUGUCGUAGGGGGAGAACCCUGGAGGAUGUCAGUGGAGAUUUUGCUCGUGACGCUAAGGGGUGCAAGUGAGGAGGUCUGCCUAUAAAAGGGGGAUCGAUCCCCUGGGCAGUGGCCAUGCCUUUGUUCUCCCCUCAUGCAUUGCGCCCUUCCACCUUUCGAGCCCCCGGAUGGGGUGCUCCAACGUUGCCUUGCUCUUGCUGUCGUUGGAGUAGCGCGGCCUCGUGGAGUUCGGCACCUUUUAGCCAUCGCUCGGCUUCAAGGAUUUUCGUCGUGCAGCCCGGCUGCAUUCCCUCACCAAUGGGCAGUUUGGUGGGGAGAAGCAAGCCGAGCUGCGGCCUCCGCCCCGCCCUCAGCUUCAAGGAUCUUCGUCAUCCUUGCUGAGGCGAAGGAGCGCACCGAGUGGGGGGUUGCCUCUGCGUGGGCCGGUAACCCUUUUCUUCCCCCAGCGUUUGGGGGAGAAAGGCAUCCUCCAGCCCUGUGGAGGCGUCCUCCAGCCAUGCGGGGGAAGGCGAACUGCUGCUCCCUGGACAGGGUGUAGCUUUCCGUCCUUCGUCCGGGCGGCGGUCGUGCCGCGCACGGGCCGGCCACGUCCAGGUCUUCCUCGCACCGUCAGCCGCGCUGGAGGGUUGCCCAGCACGUCGUACACCGCGAGGGCGGUGCUCGUGUUCUGGGGCGGCCUCGGCGAGGACGGGAGUGAGGACCUGCCGGUGUGCUUUGGGGCGGCCGUUGUUCGCCGGCGCGGUGUCGGUGGGUUCAAACCCACGGUCGGCGCCCUCUGACUCUUCGGCCUUAAUGGCUUGUCCUCGCCCCUCGUGUGGGGACGUGGGUGAGGGCCUCUUCACAGCAGCGUUUGCCCUGAAGCCGUUGCUGUAGCUAUCUGGCCGCCCGAGGCGGAGGUCGUUGUCGCUGCUGUCAGGGGUCGCCGGCAAGCCGCUUGGAGUUCGUCAUCCCACUGGCCCCCCGGUGUGGAGGUUGUUCAUAUCCGCGGGAAUGGAACCAGAGUCCCGUUUGUAAGGAGAUAUAUCGGGUUUUUGCCGGAGCAAAAUGUAACCGCUUCAAGUACUUAGACAUUUGUCGUAGGUCGGGAGAACCGCCGAGGGUUCUACCGACGUCUAAGUCUGUGUAGCAUAGUUACCCCCAAGUAUAUGUGUUUGUUCUUUGUGGCUGUCGAGGCCUGAACAUUUGGGUAUUCGAGAAUGAAGAUGUGUGUCUUCCUCAUUCCGAGCGCUGGGACUUGUCUGUUGGCUAGCCGAACCACUUAACCGAGCGUCGGUUGCCUUUCGCGGAAGGUGAUGAGUGAGGUGUCCGUAUCUCGGAGGCGUAGGAGUCCCUCGGCUCUGUCGGCCUUGCCGCUCUAGGCUUCUCUUGAUCAGGUUUUGGAACCCUCGGCUGCUCUGCGAUGAGCCGGAGCCGGAGGCAGCGGUGUUAGUGCGGACAGACGCGGAGUCGGCUCGGAAAGAGACUUCGUCGGCCUGGGAGAUGGCGGCUUCCCAGGCCGAGGAAGAUGUGGUAGCAGCCGCUGGAGCUUGGCCAAGACAUCUGCUGGCGUCCUCCCUUAGGUGGAGGUCCUUUUGCCCAGGUCGCCGUCCGAGGCGAGGCCAGGUUCCGCCGAGGGUGGAAACAACGCUGAGGGUGCUGCAGGAACAGUUUGUCUUUAGCAUGCGCAUGCUUUUUCGCGGCCGCCGAGGCCUAAACACUUUAUCGUCAUGUUUAAAAAGCUGCGUCUUCUCUCCUCUUGUUUCGAGCAUCAUGACUUGUCUGUCAAUAGCAAAAUCGUUUAUCCGAGCGAGAGUUACUUUUCGCGGAAGGUGAUGAGUGAGGUAUCCGUAUCCCGGAGGCGUAGGAGUCCCUCGGCUCGAUCGGCCUUGCCGCUUACGUGCACUCUCAUUUGGUCGAAGGAUUCCAUUAUUGGUACAGUCGAGAAGGCAUGAAAGUCGUUUUCUACCCGAGUGUUAGGACUUGUUCGGUAGCAGGAUCGCUUAUCCGAGCGUGAGUUACUUCUCGCGGAAGGUGAUGAGUGAGGUAUCCGUAUCCCGGAGGUGUAGGACUUCCUCGGCUCGGUCAGCCUUGCCGCUUACGUGUACUCUCGUCAUUCUUAGGAUCCCGCUAUCGAUACGGAAGUCGAAAGCACAAAGGUUGUUUUGGUACAAAUUUUUUCCGAGGAAAAUUUUGACGCAGAGGGGGUUCCCCCCUUCUAGCCCCCGAGGGAGGGUCAGGCUUUGCUGAGGCAAGGCCGACCCUUCCUUGACGGUUAGACUUUGUGUAUGUAAACGAGGUACAUGAAUGACUUAAAACAUCUUAAGGGUAGAAGCGACGUAGCUGUUGGAUGUUCCAAGCGUUGUUGUAGACCUCGCCUUGGUCGUUGGCCAGCUUGUAUGUUCCGGGCUUCAGGAUCUUGGCGAUGAUGAAGGGCCCUUCCCAGGGAGGAGUGAGCUUGUGGCGCCCUCGGGCGUCCUGUUGCAGGCGAAGCACCAAGUCUCCCACUUGGAAGCCUCGGGACCGAACGCUUCGGGCGUGGUAGCGCCGCAGCGACUGCUGGUACCAUGCCGAAUGUGUAACACCCCUGGUGUUACUGUAACUAAAACUGGAGCAUGGCAUCAUAAGCAUGGGCAUUUCAUAUGUUUGAUACACCUAGAAUGCAUUCACUAGGUAAAAAUUUCAAUCAAGUGUAUUGUUUCUGGUGUUUUGCAAAUAGGACCCUGGAUAGGGGACCUAACCCUAAAUCAGACUCAAAGGGGCAAAACUUAACCCAAGUUGAGAAAACCUAAAGACUUUAGGGAAAUAGUUAUAAAAUAUCCCCAAAAAUAAAGUUGAAUCAUAUUUAUACCCCUGGGAUACCAGAAACCCUAAAUAGAACCCUGGAAAACCCUAAAACUAAACCCUAGGGGCCUAGGUGCAAAAUUAGUCCACUUUUGGACUAAAGUGCAAAAACCAAGUUAAAUAAGUAUCUUAAAACAUUUGGGUCACAAAUAUGUGAAUUUGCAAGCCAAACCCUAAGUUUUGGACCAUAUUGCAAAAAUCACCUCUUAAGCACUAUAGAGCCUAAGUCUGAAAUUAGUGUGUUUUCUUCAACUUUGAACCCUUGUAUCUUUCAUGUUCUAGGGAUUUUGCCCUAGGGCACCACAUCAAAAUUAUAGCCUAAUCAUAGGAGAACAACUUUGCUUAAAGAUAUGAUCAUUGUUGUUAAGGAAAAACUGGAGAUAAUUGAGCCUGAAGUUGGACUGUCAGACUGCCUGAGGUCUGAAAUUCAGAGUAACAAUGUUAUGGGAUGAACUUUGAGCUCGAUUUUGAAUGGGAUCCAGUGACUUUUUGUGGGAGCACAUUGUAGCAAAGUUAUAGAUGGAUUAUAGCUCUACAACUUUACUACAGAAAGUUGGCAUAGGUUUCACAUAAAAAUUGGAGAAAAUAGGGCUCCAACUUGGUCUGUCAGUUAAGCUGUCCACUGAAUCUGGCACACUGUUCACGGUCUUCUGAAAUAUCACGCCGUGGAUCAGGGUCAGUUCCCCCCCCCCCCCCCCGCCGGCGAUAAGAACGCCACCGCGGCGUGACUGGUCAUCGGUGGCCGCGGUAAAUAUCCUCGGCGUCGUGGCAAAGGGUUACUGAGGUGGCGAGCUCCGGUUAAACGGCGACCCCCCGUGCCAUCACCGGAAUCCGCCGCGCGGAAAGCUUGCCAGCGCAUCCGUAGUCCGCGCUUCUUCUCCAACUCCGGUCGACGGCCUAUAAAUUGAGCUCGGACUCCGCUUCUUCUCCCCAUUACGCAUCUCAGUGCUUAAGCAAUCGACUCAAUUUCGCCAGAGAACUUACGCAGCCCCAAUUCCCUCUCUCCUCCGUUCUUGCUCCGCCGUGAAGAACUUCUUCGUAGCCAGCGUUCCUCUGGUCAGUAACUCUCAACUUACUCCCUGUUUUAGUUAGUCCUUGAUCUCCUAUUGCUCCUAGAUGUGGCAAUUUAUAGUUUGGCCGAAGCUCAUCACAGGAACGCACCCGUGCGCUGUCAAACACCGCCGUGACCCCCCCCCCACCGUCGACCCGCUCUUCGGGUCUUGUUCUGCCCAAACCGAAGCAUGUCCAUGGAUCCUAGUGAACCCGUAAACCUUUACCCAGCCUCAAUUUGGCCAUCCCCGUCGCUGUCCGAUCGGAACAUGUUCACUCUCUUGUCCAUCCGCUCUGUCUCCGUGGCCAGGACAUUGUAGUGCGCCGUUAGUGAAAUUGAUGGAGGGGAAAUGGUCGGGGUGGAUCGAAUUGUGUUCCCGUCGCUUGAGAGCACCAGCCGUGGCGUCAUCUGGCCGGACUAAGCUCGCCGGAGUGCGGCGAGGGCUGAUUCCUCGUCGUGGACUUUGCUCUGUGAAAGUAUAGAAUGUGGAGGGCCUUAGUAUAAACUGUCAGCGACUCACUGAAACAGUAGAAGAACCUGUCUCCAGAUAGAUAAAACCCCGAGGCCCUUUUUGCAAAACCGCCAGGGCUCGGGCGCACGCGCGCGUUUUCACUGUGUACUGGGCCGUCUGGGCCAGAUGUUGCCCAGUACUAUUCCUAAGUUUUUCUUUUUCUUUUUACUCCAGAGCUAAAACAAUUGUAGAAAAUUAUAGAAAAAUCCUAAAAUUAUGAAACUAAUUUUCCUAGGUUUCUUAUUUUCUCUAGAAUUUAAUAAAAAUAGUUUCCUGAUUUUUAGUUUAAACAGGGAAUUUUAAGGCAUUUAAAAUAGUUUAAGACAGUAGUUUUGGAUUUUUAAAAGAUAAAUGGUAAUCCCAAAAAUGCUCAAAAUUUUUAUAUGAGUUCCUCAUGUUAUUUAGAAGCCUUGGGUAGAGUUUGGGUUGAUUUGGACCUUGUUUGAUCACCAAACCCCAAAACACCCCCCUGCCCUAUGAACUCCUUUACUGACUCCGGAAACCCUAAGUUCUCGGAGUUCCGUGAAGGAAAGUUGUAUUCAAGACUUAGAUAAUAAAUCUUUAUUGUCUUUGCACUCUCAUGAGCAUUACAUGGCAUUCAUUCUUAUAUAUAUAUGGUUAUGUUAGAACACGAAGAAGAAGUGGAAGUCACCGAAGAAAGGACACCACCACCCUCGGAUUCUCAAGCAGGCAACUGCUUCUACUUUGAUAUUUGUGGAUCCGAGCCAGACUCACCUGUUAACGAAGGCAAGCCCCGGUGCAUGCAACCCCUUUCCUUGUGUUUUUAAAUACUUUUCGCACACUUUAAGUCUAGUGAAAUGUGCAUUAGGUUAUCGGAGUUGCUUGAAACCCUUUGAUGCAUUGUUUUCCUUGAUAUCCAUACCUUUAUAGAUACUUCUGGUGAAGUAUCAAAAUUUGAUUUACAAAAAUGCUUAGCCCUGCUUAGAUCUUGAGGAUAGAGGUUGUCUUUUGCAAUACUGCCUAGCUCAGGGGUUAUCCUGAGGAAAGAUGGCUUCUACCUGCAAGAAUACUUUCCUUGAGAGCGUGGUGGGAUCUUACUGCAAAGUUCCCUGUGAUGCUCUUUUCAUCCUAAGGAAUAGAAAUAAUCCUAAGGAUGGAUGUACUUAAAUCGAGACUUGGGUUAGGAACAUGUGAUGUUCUACCCAGGAUGAUUAAGGAUUGAAUGCGUAUGUAGGCGUGUUGAUCGAGGACCCUUUAACUGGUCACAUGCCUCGUCAUGGGUAAGCCUUGCCUCGGGCAGACUAAGGCCAGAAUAAGAUAACACGAAAUGGGCGUGGAGCGGUGGCGAGAGUAGCGUGUACCCACCAUGGCAAGAGGCUGGACGGUGGUGUAUUUGUGCUCUUGGUUUGCGUGAACCUGAUCUGGUCUUAAGAACCCCGGUGGCGGGUUGACAUAUGCAAGGGUUAAGUGCUACAUAUGUCGUGGGAUUGGAGAUCCUCAGCUGAGUAUAAUCGAUUCGGAUCGCCGUACCUUCGCGGUUAUGAAGACUUGGUCACUUCCCUACAACCUAAGUCAGGAUGUGAACACUAUGAAUAAAAAUGAUGUUGUAUUGAUGAGAUGGUGAAAUUAGACCAGAUGCAAACAGAGUCUAUUAAUACUUAAUAUGGCGUUAAAACAUUGAAAGUAAGGAUUCACUUUAGUAAGCUAUUUCUGCAAAAGUAUCUAAGUUGAUUUUUGCUAAAGCCUCUCCUUGAUUCCUACUUAUCCAGCAUACCCGUGAGAGUCUUUUCCUUAGUCAGGUAAGACUUGCUGAGUAAUUCCAUACUCAGGGUUUAUUCCCUCAUUAUUUUUAGGUGAGGAAGCAGCAGAUUUUUGUUGCUUCUGUACCAAGGUGGUUCCUAAUGAAGAUAAGCAAGAGUGAAGUGCGGGAGGAAAGGAUCCUCCAUUAGGACUUUUUGUGUGAUAACUGUCGGGAGGAGUUUUUGCCUCCCUUGGUAUGUGUAAUAAUAUUAUUCGGCACUCGUUAUAUAGUUCUGGUCUCUAAUAAACAACUUGAUCUUACUUUUUAAUAAAUGUAAGCUUAUGUAAUCGCUUCCGCAUAUCUAUAUCUCCGAUGUUCUGUAAUGUCUGCAAGACGGGUGAGACGUUCCUGGAAAGGUAAGGAAAGAUACCGAGCUUGUCAAGUAGUUCAGGGGCACCUACAGGGUUGUCUGAGGUCCGUUGGACAAGGACAACUGUAGGUGGGCCUAAUUACUUGGGAGGUUCCGUCACAGCUGGUAUCGGAGCGUAGCCCUUCUUGACAGAUAUUAUGUAGCAUCUUCAAAAGAAUUUUCUAAGACUGAUCUAGAAAAUUUCUUCUCUUCUUACCUAAGCAUCUCUGAAGAGUUUAUUUCAAAGACCAGAUAGAAAGAGUGCAAUGUGUGGAAGGUUGAAUCGACUAAGGUUGAUUCUGUACUUUUUCAUGCAUCAUGCUAAAAAUUGUACUAAUAAAUUUCCCCUUAGAAAAUGCCGCCACGUACAAGGAAAACGGCACGAAAGCAUACUGGACCUAUCGGUGUGCCUCGACACCAACUUGCCCCACGGGAGCAAGAGCAAGAUAGCAGUAGCGGGAGCAACGAUCCUAUUGGUGAUCUCGAAGCUCGCGUGAAUCAACUUCAAGCAGAACUGCAUCGCAGGACCAAUUUAUGGGUUGCGGACGGUGACCGAAUAAAUGAUUUGAGAAGUUACAUCCGCACCCUGCAAGAUCAACUAGCUGACCGAGAUCUGGCGCUUGAUUGGGCGGUACAAUCUCGCUCAGUAGCUUUAGCUAAGGAAGCGAAGGCUCGAGCACGAGUCAACGAACUUAGCGUUGCUAUUGACAACUUGCAGGUAUAUUGCAAUACUUUACAUGAGGAAGUUCAUGUACUGUAUUCGCAAUUACACCCAAAUGUCCCUGCGGAUCCCGUCAGGUCAGGAGCCGGACCCUCGGGAGAAGCGCUUGGUGGGGAGUUAGACCUUUUUAGGCCCCCUCCUUCUUUGAGGUUGGUCGACGUAUGGUCUCCCACCCCUGACGAUGAAGCUAUCAAGAACAAUCAGAAGCAGGAGUAGUAGUGUAGUUGUAGAAGUAGUAAGUUGUAUAAUAGGUUGAACUCUUGUAUAAUGGGUAAUGUAUCCUGUUAUGUAACAUCGAGUCUGUAUCAUUACUUUUUAUAGUAAUGUAAAAUGGAAGGUUUCUCUGGCAUAUUAUGUUUACUUCAAAUGUUCUUUGCCACAGAUGCCUACCAGGACUCGAGGACAGGAUGCAGCGGGAACUUCUGGGGGAAGGGAUGUUACCCCAAAUCCACCUCCGGUUCCUCCCACAUUGGCCGAGGCGAUUGCCGCCUUGGUGAACGCGACUGCGGACAAUACCCGCUUUCUUAGAGAAAUGGCGGGCCAACAGCUCCAGCAGCAGGGUGGAAGGGGUUAUCAGCAAGGCCCCCGUGAAACCACCUAUCUAGAUUUCUCCAAAACCCAUCCACCACUAUUCGUCAAAGCUGAGGACCCGUUGGAAGCUGAUGAGUGGAUACGGGUUAUUGAACAAAAGUUUGGUCUUCUCCGCUGUUCAGAAACGCAGAAGCCGUUGUUCGCAGCGCAACAACUACGUGGCUCUGCCAGUACUUGGUGGGGGAAUUUUGUGGCUAUUCAACCUGCCAACCAUCAAGUUACAUGGGAAGAAUUUAAAGCAGCCUUUCGUGAACACUACAUACCCGAAGGUGUUCUGCAUAUGAAACAAGAAGAGUUCAUGAAGCUGAAACAAGGAGGAGAUACCGUCAAUCAGUAUCUCAACAAGUUUAAUCACCUGUCACAGUAUGCUAUCGAUCAGGUGAAUACUGACUUAGAAAAAGAACUGCUUUAUGAGGGGUCUAAAUGACCGAUUACAGAGAAAGAUGGCCACAUGCAUAGAUCUCACGUAUGGAAAGGCUUUCAGUACAACCUUAUCUGUUGAAGCAAAAUACGCAAGUUCUGGGAAGAACAAGGGAUUCGGUGGUGAGAAGCCUAAUCAGGGCCAGGCGAAGAGGCAACGGUUUGUGAUCCGGCCUCCUAGCCAAAAUCGCACUUUUUCUCGUCCACCCUCAUUCCCUUUCAAGCAGCCAAUUAUCAUCCGUCCCAACAAUACCCCCACUACCCCAAAUCAGCCGGGUGCCCCGGGCACUCGAUUCCCUGCCUUGCCCAGCUCCUCAACCGGGUGUUUUAAUUGUGGCAAGUCGGGACAUUUCAUCAAAGACUGCCCAUAUCCCAAGCAGAAUCAAGCAAAUGCUCAGCAAGGAUCUGGUAAAUCAGCUCAGUCCAAGGGAAAUAAUGUGGGGAGAAAUACAAAGAAGACGGGGCGUGUAUACUAUACUCAAGUGGCCACUACACCGGAGGGAGAAGCGGUGAUGAUGGGUACGUUUCCCGUGGCCAGUCACCCUGCAAUUAUUCUUUUUGAUUCUGGUGCUUCGCAUACGUUCAUUAGCAAGAAAUUUGUGGAGCAACAUCACAUUGCAUGCCAUGAAUCAAAAGAGGGAUUUAAAAUUCAUUCACCUGGGGGACACAUUUUUACUAGAGAAGUGGCCUAUGAAGUGCCAGUAACCAUGGCCGGACGGAACUAUCCUACUAACAUGAUUGUUCUGAAAGGCCAGGAUAUAGAUGUAAUUUUGGGUAUGAAUUGGUUAACCCAACACAAGGCAAUUCUCAACACUGAACUCAGAACCGUCAGGUUGAGCUAUAAUCAAGAAGAGAUUCUUUUGUCUCUCCCCGUAACCAAUCCAGCCAAAGCUUCUGGUAGAAUAUAUGAAGCCAUUGUACCGGAGAUCAAGGAUAUUCCGGUAGUAUGUGAGUUUCCAGAUGUGUUUCCGGAAGAUUUGCCUGGACUGCCCCCUGAAAGAGAUGUAGAAUUUGUAAUUGAGCUAAAGCCCGGUACGGCUCCCAUCUCCCGAAGAUCGUACCGUAUGCCCCCUAAUGAGUUGGCGGAAUUGAAGAUUCAAUUACAAGAUCUACUGAAUAAGGGAUUCAUCCGGCCAAGCUCGUCUCUAUGGGGUUGCCCCGCCAUUUUUGUUAAAAAGAAGGAUCAAACCAUACGUAUGUGCGUGGAUUAUCGACCCCUGAAUGAGGUCACCAUCAAGAACAAGUACCCUCUUCCAAGGAUCGACAUCUUAUUUGAUCAAUUGACUGGGACGAGGGUAUUUUCCAAAAUUGAUCUCAGGUCGGGCUAUCACCAAAUCCGUAUUCGGCCCGAGGAUAUACCGAAGACCGCAUUUACUACGCGGUAUGGUUUAUUCGAAUAUUUGGUAAUGUCUUUCGGGCUAACAAAUGCUCCUGCCCACUUCACCUAUUUGAUGAACUCGGUGUUUAUGCCCGAGUUGGACAAGUUCGUGGUGGUCUUCAUCGACGACAUCUUAAUAUACUCUAAAAAUGAAGAGGAGCAUGCUCAACAUCUACGGAUUGUAUUAACGCGCCUAAGGGAACAUCAGUUGUAUGCCAAGUUCAGCAAGUGCGCGUUUUGGCUGGAGGAAAUUCAAUUUUUGGGGCACGUGUUAUCGGCCAAAGGAAUUGUGGUAGAUCCUAGCAAAGUCAAAGAUAUUCUGGAGUGGAAACCCCCAACCACUGUUCACCAAGUCCGGAGUUUUCUUGGACUAGCUGGAUAUUAUCGCAGAUUCAUACCAGAUUUUUCUAAGCUUGUGAAGCCAAUCACAAGUUUAUUGAGGAGUGACAUUAAAUUCAAUUGGUCUUCUAAGUGUAAUGAAGCCUUUGAGCAAUUGAAGACAUUAUUAACCACUGCUCCAGUAUUGGCUCAACCGGACAUCACUAAGCCUUUUGAUGUAUAUUGUGAUGCGUCUGGCAGUGGACUCGGCUGUGUAUUAAUGCAAGAGGGUCGAGUAAUUGCAUAUGCUUCAAGGCAGUUGCGCCGACAUGAGGAGCAUUACCCAACUCAUGAUCUGGAGCUAGCUGCUGUGGUUCAUGCCCUGAAAAUUUGGCGUCAUUAUCUGCUGGGAAAUGUCUGUCAUAUUUAUACAGAUCAUAAAAGUUUGAAGUACAUCUUCACCCAGUCAGAAUUAAAUAUGAGGCAAAGACGAUGGCUUGAGCUUAUUAAGGACUAUGAACUGGAGAUCCAUUAUCACCCAGGCAAAGCCAAUGUUGUGGCAGAUGCAUUGAGCCGUAAGGCUUCGUGCCACUGUCUUAUGGUGAAGACCUCUGACAACACUUUGUGUCAUGAAAUGGAAAAGUUAAACCUGGGGAUGCU